rnacentral:rRNA from 1 species
UACGGGAGGCAGCAGUGGGGAAUAUUGCACAAUGGAGGAAACUCUGAUGCAGCAACGCCGCGUGGAGGAUGACACAUUUCGGUGAAACUCCUUUUAUAUGGGAAGAUAAUGACGGUACCAUAUGAAUUAAGCACCGGCUAACUCCGUGCCAGCAGCCGCGGUAAUACGGAGGGUGCAAGCGUUACUCGGAAUCACUGGGCGUAAAGCGCGCGCAGGCGGCCUAUUAAGUUGGAUGUGAAAGCCUACGGCUCAACCGUAGAACUGCAUCCAAAACUAUUAGGCUAGAGUCUGGGAGGGGAAGAUGGAAUUAGUUGUGUAGCGGGUAAAAUCCGUUUAGAGAUAACUAGGAAUACCAAAAGCGAAGGCGAUCUUCUGGAACAGUACUGACGCUGAGGCGCGAAAGCGUGGGGAGCAAACAGGAUUAGAU